GACGAACGCUGGCGGCGUGGAUUAGGCAUGCAAGUCGAACGGUAUCAUCCUUUCGGGGGUGAGAGAGUGGCGAACUGGUGAGUAACACGUAGGUGAUCUACCCUCAAGAUUGGGACAACCCAGGGAAACUUGGGCUAAUACCGGAUGAAAGCAGCAGUGAUGUUGUUUGAAAGGUGGCGUAAGCUGCCGUUUGGGGAUGAGCCUGCGCUCUAUUAGUUAGUUGGCGGGGUAAAGGCCCACCAAGGCGAUGAUAGAUAGGCGGCCUUAACGGGUGGUCGCCCACACUGGGAUUGAGAUACGGCCCAGACUCCUACGGGAGGCAGCAGUCGAGAAUAGUCUACAAUGGCCGAAAGGCUGAUAGUGCGACGCCGCGUGAACGAAGAAGCCCUUCGGGGUGUAAAGUUCUUUUAUAUGUGAGCAGUGCUUUCUAUGUGAACAGCAUGGGGAAGAGAUAUUAGCAUAUGAAUAAGCAAACGGCUAAACUCCGUGCC
rnacentral:rRNA from 1 species